rnacentral:lncRNA from 1 species
CAGAGACUCAGAUACACCGGAAGUGGAAUUUAUCAUACAUACACAACAUUUCUGAAACAAACUCGUGCACACAAAUUAAAUUAAAUAAUAUAACAAAAAUAAUACUGAAUUAUACAUUACUACACAAUGUUAUUUGAAUAUUUUUCUUUGACUCAGAGUCAAGAAACGUAGAGAGAAGCAUAAGAUCACUCAUGUAGAAAGUUCGACGACAAUCGGUAUUAUUUUGAAAUUUCAAAGGAAGACUGUAAACAUGUUAUGUAACUUAACAGUUGUACGCUGGCGAAUGAGUUAUGGAAGUAGAAAACUUUUAUUUUUUACGUUAUGUCUGCGUUAAAUGCCGAUAAGGUAACUGUAUAAUGUAGAAGCAUUAGCUAACGUUAGCUUACCGUGGUGAGGACAGCUGAUAUCUGCCGCGGCGUGGUUACCUUUUUACUCCACAUUUUCACCGCACAUCUGUUAUGGAACUUUGCCUAAGGAAUAUGGUGUUUUUGCUGUAAAAAAUGUCAUUUCUCUGUUAGUCCCUCUGCGGACAGAAGACUAAAGGAAAGCUAUGACAGCUCGUUCACGCUUAAAUGACUGACUGGGCUUCACCAUGCCGAACCAAACGACGUCCCCGCCGCUGACAGUAACUCUACUCGCCGCGCUGUGGGUCAGUUUGAGUCGGUGCGGUGGAUCAGGAUGCGACAAUGGAAAACUCUCUUUGGACAUGGACCUGCCUGUGGAUGCUCUUUACUGGGACUGUGCAAUGUCUACCUGGCCAGAGUCUUUUCAGAAACGUCAGAGUAUUGACACUGUGUAUGAUCCUGAGGUGAGUAAACUAUUUUGUCAGCUGCUAUCUUUAUAGCAGUUCCUCCCAAC